rnacentral:rRNA from 1 species
AAAUGAAUUGACGGGGACCCGCACAAGCAGCGGAGCAUGUGGUUUAAUUCGACGCUACGCGAAAAACCUUACCAAGACUUGACAUCCCCAGAAUAAGCGCGAAAUCGCUGAAAUAAUAGCAAUAUUACUGGGUGACAGAUGGUGCAUGGUUGUCGUCAGCUCGUGUCGUGAGAUGUUCGGUUAAGUCCGAUAACGAGCGCAACCCCUGUUUUCAGUUGCCAGCAUUAAGUUGGGCACUCUGGAAAGACUGCCGUAGAUAAUACGGAGGAAGGCGGGGAUGACGUCAAAUCAUCAUGCCUCUUACGUCUUGGGCUACACACGUGCUACAAUGGUGACUACAAAGAGUUGCAAUAUGGUAACAUGGAGCCAAUCUCAAAAAAGUCAUCUCAAUUCGGAUUGUGGGCUGAAACCCGCCCACAUGAAGUCGGAGUUGCUAGUAAUCCCUAAUCAGCAUGUAGGGGUGAAUGCGUUCCCGGGUCUUGUACACACCGCCCGU